rnacentral:rRNA from 1 species
GACGAACGCUGGCGGCGUGCUUAACACAUGCAAGUCGAACGGAAAGGCCCUGCUUUUGUGGGUUGCUCGAGUGGCGAACGGGUGAUUAACACGUGAGUAACCUGCCCUUGACUUUGGGAUAACUUCAGGAAACUGGGGCUAAUACCGGAUAGGAGCUCCUGCUGCAUGGUGGGGGUUGGAAAGUUUCGGCGGUUGGGGAUGGACUCGCGGCUUAUCAGCUUGUUGGUGGGGUAGUGGCUUACCAAGGCUUUGACGGGUAGCCGGCCUGAGAGGGUGACCGGCCACAUUGGGACUGAGAUACGGCCCAGACUCCUACGGGAGGCAGCAGUGGGGAAUAUUGCACAAUGGGCGGAAGCCUGAUGCAGCAACGCCGCGUGCGGGAUGACGGCCUUCGGGUUGUAAACCGCUUUCGCCUGUGACGAAGCGUGAGUGACGGUAAUGGGUAAAGAAGCACCGGCUAACUACGUG